UCGUCGUCUUCAAUAUUCUAAUCUUCGCUUUGUUUUUUCGAUCGUCUUCAAUAUUCUUCGGUGGAAUUGUUGUGUCAGCAAUUUCCCCGAAGAAUAUUUGGUGAUGGGUGUUGAUAUCGUUUUUUCCCCUUUUUCUGGGUUUGGUUUAGUGGGUUCUGGUGCGGUGAGCCACAGAGAGAGACUUGUGGAACCCGAGUAUUUGGAGAUGGAGGAGAGAGUUCUAAGCCGUUGAAGGUUAUGUUUAGUGGGCCCGCCAAGCAUUAGACCGAUGCGAUUCCGAUUGGUAAUGGAGGACUUGGAGCCAUGGUGUGGGGUGGUGUUGCUUCAGAGACUCUUCAACUUAAUGAAAGCCUGGGAAGCUAUGGCAUUGGGAAGUAAUUUCAGCUUUCCCAUCUCUCUCAACAGAUAAUGAAAGAAGUAUUUGACUGAUGACCCUCGUGCCUGGGCUGUUGAUUAAACCUUUGUGUUUUAUAUCUAUACAAGUCAUUGCAGAUGGUGGUUGCUAAACUUUCUCAGUUAGAUCCUAGCAUCUUGAGAUGAUCCUUUCUUGAUAGGAGUAACAGGGAUCUUUAACUGAAAUCAGAUCACAGCUCUCUCUACUUUGGCUAUUGUUCUGCAAUUGGAGGGUCUAGAUUAAUUUUGGAGAUCCCAUUGCAAUGUUGUUGAAAUCACCAGUUCUUGUAAAUCUUGGGAAGCUAUAAAUGCGAUAAAAAUGGAGAGUUUCUAAAGCAUCUUAGCCCCAAGUUUCACAUAUAGUUAUGGAUGAUUUCCAAACCAUGUUUAGACUUCUCAAAUGCUGCAGCCACAACAAAAUGCAGUCCAAUGGAGGAAUAAAGCCAAAAUAAUACACAUAUGCUAGCAACAUGGUAUCCAAAUAAGUCAUGAGAUGUUUGGUGUUUCUUAUUUUGCCUCAUCUUGUCAAGAGGCUGCUUGUUUAUAUUGUAUGCAUACUAUUGAGGAUGGCCUUCCAGCGUUAUGAGCAGCAAUAUGACCAGAAUCAGGGGAAACAGCUGCAUGUUCUCUUACGAAACAGAGUUUUGGUAGAGUUACGGAUACCUCAUUUACAGAAUUCGUUUGAGCAAUGACAAGAAUCAGGAAAAAGGCGCUUUUUCUUACAUCAAGAGGAGUUUGGGCAGAAUCACUGAUGAUUUAUACGGACAAGUAGUGAGUUUUUCAUAUGAGUUUGAUAUCUUUUGCUCAUGCGAUGCGUCAAAAUCAGCUUGCAACUUUAGAUGAUUUGGCCAUUAUUUUGCACCCAAAGGCGCUACAAUAAAUUCAGAUCCUAGUCCAAAGUUGUUGACAUCAUCAGUUCUGAUAUUGCUUUUGCUCUGAUUUAAUUGUUGUAUAUAACUGUAAAAUUGUUCUUCUAAGUUUCAUUAAUUUGAUAUUUCCUUUCGUUACUUUGAAGAAACUGCAGACUUCUUAAUUACUGUGAAAUAGUUAAAAUCCAGUUCAUUGGCGGGAUGAUGCCAAAGUACAACAGGGAGGACAUGAUAUUCUUGUUUGCCUAAUCAUCAUAAAUCAGUUGACAGAAUAAAUUUGCCUCUCAGAAAAUCAUUCUUGCCUUUUAGGUCAUUUAUGUGAAUCACAGUCAUAAGAGUUGGGAAUUUACUUGUUCAGGACUACGACAAGAAAAGAGAAUGUACAAAGGUGGGAGAAGUGAUGAAGCAAAAUACUUACUCUUAAGGGAUGGACAAAUGCCUUGUUCAGAAAUUACAUGAACACGGAACAGUCUAGUAGACAUUGGACUCGAGGAGCAAGGAUGGAAUAGAACAAAGAAGUUAGGAGAAGCGAUUAAAGGAAAAAGUUAGAUAUCAAAUUCUUUUUUGAAGAAAUGAUGUUCAGACAAACUAUGAAAUAAGUAGUGAUGCAUGAUACAAGCUCAAUAGUUGGCAGAAUGUGGUCCUUCUUCCUUUUCUUUUCCCAUCAUCAGACAUAAAAGAAUGCUUUAUCACCAUACAAACUUGGAGGGGCAGCAGGUGGAAGUGAUUAUGAUCCUAAAGGAAAAAGUGAUAAUGAGAUCAUGCACUUUUGCCAAAGUUUCAUGAAUGAGAUCUAUAGAUAUCUGGGUUCCGACAAGUAUCUUCCAUCAGAAGAGCUGGUGUUGGCACCU